UUCUAGCCCAGAUAGCAGCGGCAUCCUCUUGCGGUAGCGCUAGCGGACACAAGAGAUAUAGCGGAUAGCUGGACACGAG
rnacentral:sRNA from 1 species